UACAGAGGGUGCAAGCGUUGCUCGGAAUUACUGGGCGUAAAGCGUGUGUAGGCGGUCUCAUAAGUGGGGUGUGAAAGCCCUAGGCUCAACCUAGGAACUGCGCCCCAAACUGCGAGACUUGAGUGUCGGAGAGGAUAGUGGAAUUCCCAGUGUAGAGGUGAAAUUCGUAGAUAUUGGGAGGAACACCAGUGGCGAAGGCGGCUAUCUGGACGAACACUGACGCUGAGACACGAAAGCGUGGGGAGCAAACAGG
rnacentral:rRNA from 1 species